AUGGGCGAAAGCCUGACGGAGCAACGCCGCGUGAGUGAAGACGGCCUUCGGGUGUGUAAAGCUCUGUUAUAGGGGACGAACGGCCGGGUAGCGAAGAGGUAGCCGGCAUGACGGUACCGUAAGAGAAAGCCACGGCUAACUACGUGCCAGCAGCCGCGGUAAUACGUAGGUGGCAAGCGUUGUCCGGAAUGAUUGGGCGUAAAGGGCGCGCAGGCGGCUGUGUAAGUCUGUCUAAAAAGUGCGGGGCUAAACCCCGUGAGAGGAUGGAAACUGGACAGCUGAGAGUGUCGGAGAGGAAAGCGGAAUUCCUAGUGUAGCGGUGAAAUGCGUAGAUAUUAGGAGGAACACCGGUGGCGAAAGCGGCUUUCUGGACGACAACUGACGCUGAGGCGCGAAAGCCAGGGGAGCAAACGGGAUUAGAUACCCCGGUAGUCCUGGCCGUAAACGAUGGGUACUAGGUGUAGGAGGUAUCGACCCUCCUGUGCCGGAGUUAACGCAUAAGUA
rnacentral:rRNA from 1 species